GAUGAACGCUAGCGGCAGGCUUAAUACAUGCAAGUCGAGGGGCAGCGCGGGUAGCAAUACCUGGCGGCGACCGGCAAACGGGUGCGGAACACGUACGCAACCUUCCCAAAACUGGGGAAUAGCCCUCCGAAAGGAGGAUUAAUACCCCGUAACAUAACGAAGUGGCAUCACUUUGUUAUUAUAGUUCCGACGGUUUUGGAUGGGCGUGCGCCUGAUUAGGUAGUUGGCGGGGUAACGGCCCACCAAGCCUGCGAUCAGUAACUGGUGUGAGAGCACGACCAGUCACACGGGCACUGAGACACGGGCCCGACUCCUACGGGAGGCAGCAGUAAGGAAUAUUGGUCAAUGGACGCAAGUCUGAACCAGCCAUGCCGCGUGAAGGAUGAAGGUCCUCUGGAUUGUAAACUUCUUUUAUAUGGGACGAAAAAAGGGCAUUCUUGCUCACUUGACGGUACCAUAGGAAUAAGCACCGGCUAACUCCGUG
rnacentral:rRNA from 1 species